rnacentral:rRNA from 1 species
GGGCUUGACAUCCCACGAACCUGCCCGAAAAGGUGGGGUGCCCGCAAGGGAGCGUGGAGACAGGUGGUGCAUGGCUGUCGUCAGCUCGUGUCGUGAGACGUUGGGUUAAGUCCCGCAACGAGCGCAACCCUCACCCCUAGUUGCCACCGGGUUAAGCCGAGCACUCAAGGGGAACUGCCAGCGUCAAGCUGGAGGAAGGCGGGGAUGACGUCAAGUCAUCAUGCCCCUUACGCCCUGGGCUACACACGUGCUACAAUGGCCAGUACAAAGGGACGCGAGACUGCGAAGUGGGGCUAAUCCCAAAAAGCUGGUCUAAGUUCAGAUUGCAGUCUGCAACUCGACUGCAUGAAGGAGGAAUCGCUAGUAAUCGCGCAUCAGCCCGGCGCGGUGAAUACGUUCCCGGGCCUUGUACACACCGCCCGUCACACCACGGAAGCUGUCUGUACUCGAAGUCGCUGAG